rnacentral:rRNA from 1 species
UGGGGAAUCUUGCGCAAUGGGCGAAAGCCUGACGCAGCCAUGCCACGUGAAUGAUGAAGGUCUUAGGAUUGUAAAAUUCUUUCACCGGGGACGAUAAUGACGGUACCCGGAGAAGAAGCCCCGGCUAACUUCGUGCCAGCAGCCGCGGUAAUACGAAGGGGGCUAGCGUUGCUCGGAAUUACUGGGCGUAAAGGGAGCGUAGGCGGACAUUUAAGUCAGGGGUGAAAUCCCGGGGCUCAACCUCGGAAUUGCCUUUGAUACUGGGUGUCUUGAGUAUGAGAGAGGUGUGUGGAACUCCGAGUGUAGAGGUGAAAUUCGUAGAUAUUCGGAAGAACACCAGUGGCGAAGGCGACACACUGGCUCAUUACUGACGCUGAGGCUCGAAAGCGUGGGGAGCAAACAGG